rnacentral:miRNA from 1 species
UUGUUUUUGUCUCAAAAAACAAACAAACAGGGCUGGAGAGAUGGCUCAGAGGUUAAGAGCACUGACUGCUCUUCCAGAGGUC